GGGUGCCUCACGUACAUGGCCAUUAUCUCCGUGCCUCUUCGGGUCUGAAGCUUGUGGAUUUCCACGUUUUCUCGGUGUGGGAAUGGGGCGAGAAGCAACAGUCCCGUUAGCUCGUCCGUGACCACCUUGUAAGACGGCGGACUCGGCGGGAAGAAGGCGAACUUCGCCGCCACCGAAGAUGUCACCCCUCCCAUCUCCUUUCUUCCUUCCUCGCUGGUCCUGUAUCUACGCAAAUAGCAUUCCCGUGUGAUGCUUUUUCUUCCUUUUCUUGGG
rnacentral:lncRNA from 1 species